UACGGAGGGUGCGAGCGUUGUUCGGAAUUAUUGGGCGUAAAGCGCGUGCAGGCGGUCUAUUAAGUCUGAUGUGAAAGCCCCGGGCUUACCCCGGGGAAGUGCAUUGGAAACUGGUAGACUAGAAUACGGGAGAGGGUAGUGGAAUUCCUGGUGUAGAGGUGAAAUUCGCAGAUAUCAGGAAGAACACCGGUGGCGAAGGCGGCUGCCUGGACCGAUAUUGACGCUGAGACGCGAAAGCGUGGGGAGCAAACAGG
rnacentral:rRNA from 1 species